ensembl:rRNA 5S_rRNA 5S ribosomal RNA
GUUUACAUCACAGUAGCCUGAAUGGACCUGUGCUAUUCUCAUCUUGGAUGCUAAGCAGUCAUGAGCUGGCUAGUAAUUGGAUGGGAGACCAGCUUGGGAUCCCAGGUAUUGUAGAUC